GAGGUGGAGCUCAGUGGUGGAGUGCUUGCCUGGCCUGCAUGAGGCCCUGGGUUCAAACCUCAGCACCACA
rnacentral:tRNA from 1 species